rnacentral:rRNA from 1 species
UUGUACAUUCUUACAGCACAGUGUUAAUGCACUAUAUGCCAUUGGAACUCUGUAGUUAAGCAUGCUCGGGCUAGAGUAGUAUUGGGAUGGGUGACUGCCCAGAAAGUCCUAGUGUUUUACAUG